rnacentral:rRNA from 1 species
UACGUAGGGGGCUAGCGUUGUCCGGAAUCAUUGGGCGUAAAGCGCGUGUAGGCGGUCCGGUAAGUCUGCUGUGAAAGUCGGGGGCUCAACCCUCGAAUGCCGGUGGAUACUGUCGGGCUAGAGUGCGGAAGAGGCGAGUGGAAUUCCUGGUGUAGCGGUGAAAUGCGCAGAUAUCAGGAGGAACACCUAUUGCGAAGGCAGCUCGCUGGGACGU